UGACUAUCAGUGAAGUCCUUACUGAAUAAGCUCAGUUUACAAUGAUGCUUUCAUAAUGGAUGACUCAAAUUAGGUAUUGAAAGAGAUGUCACUGAAGCAAAUCUUGAAAUAAGAGAUACUAUUUGAGGAAGGCUGCAAAGGAAAGAGGCUGAGGAGAGAGGAUGGGGAAGUUUUAAAGAUGGGGAAGGAGAUAUAUAUUAUAACUAAGCAAGUGCAAAAGAAUAGCAGGUAGAUGAACCUGCAGACUCAACUUUGUACGUGGACCUAGAAGGAUGAAGAAACCAGACUAGAAAGUGCAAGGCAUGUGCCCGGUAUCAUACACAGUUGGCACAUAAUCAACAUGGAUACCAAGGUUGUGCAAACAGCAAGACUUAUGCUACAGAGAACAUCCUUGGCUACAAUAGCCUUUAAAUCCAACAUCCAUGAGAGAGAAUACUCAGUCCUCAAGUUCAGAAUUUUGUCCCAGAAUAAAGGAGUCUGAUAGAUUUCUACCAUAAAGCGUCUUCUGUCUCAACCAUACCUGAUAUUAUUUUUCUCUCUUAUAUGACAUUCAUAGAAUCUAAUGAGCUAGCUGAAGCUUCAAGGUGAUUUAGCUUUCAACUCCUUUUUCCUUUGUCACUCAAUAUUGCUAAAAU
rnacentral:lncRNA from 1 species